rnacentral:rRNA from 1 species
GAUGAACGCUGGCGGCGUGCCUAAUACAUGCAAGUAGAACGCUGAAGGAAGGAGCUUGCUCUUUCCGGAUGAGUUGCGAACGGGUGAGUAACGCGUAGGUAACCUGCCUGGUAGCGGGGGAUAACUAUUGGAAACGAUAGCUAAUACCGCAUAACAGUAGAUGUUGCAUGAUAUCUACUUAAAAGGUGCAAUUGCACCACUACCAGAUGGACCUGCGUUGUAUUAGCUAGUUGGUGAGGUAACGGCUCACCAAGGCGACGAUACAUAGCCGACCUGAGAGGGUGAUCGGCCACACUGGGACUGAGACACGGCCCAGACUCCUACGGGAGGCAGCAGUAGGGAAUCUUCGGCAAUGGACGGAAGUCUGACCGAGCAACGCCGCGUGAGUGAAGAAGGUGUUCGGAUCGUAAAGCUCUGUUGUAAGAGAAGAACGAGUGUGAGAGUGGAAAGUGCACACUGUGACGGUAUCUUACCAGAAAGGGACGGCUAACUACGU